UCUGUCAUGUUUUGUGCCUAUAGAUUGUGAAUUUCGUGUUAAAGUGCGAGUGAUAUUAUUAACACCUUAUAAAGUAUUUCAGUUUUAUUUUACAAUAAUAUUUAUUUUUGUUUAGUCUUUCAAAUAACUUUGUGUUAAGUGACUUAGUGAUUUUCUUACAAUUUAAUGAGUGGUCUGCCGAUUGCAGGUCCGCGAGUUCUUGUAAUCCAAGGCGAGAAACUACUUUAAUCAUAGGAUUUCUCCACAUGCGCUAUGGGAGCUCGAACGUAAUAAGAUAACGAACCGGCUCUCGAAAUGGAAUACAAUUCGAGCCCCUGGACUAUUACACCGUUUUUCACUCGUGGUGUUUUAUAUAAUAUAAAAGACGAUGAAGAGGAGAAAGAGCGCGGCACAGGAAUGGCAAAUUGUAAUGAAAUCAACCGGCAGUUACGUGGACCGGGGCACUCUAUAAGAAUAUAGAUGGGCUCUUGUAGUACAGAUGUAGAAUGUAAUUUAUUGUUGUGAAACCUAAUAAUGAUUUCUGUAUAA